GGUGAGAAGGAAGGGAGGACCUACGGGAAGCCAUAACUAGAUUUCCAAGACAUUCCCAAUAGCCAACGACGUAGAUAUAAUUAUUUAAGGUAGUCCGAAACUUAUGAUAGGUAGAUGAUGAAUAUGAAGGUGAAGAUGUGCAGUGCAGUGCAGGGGCAGGCAGUUAACCUCUUUAUUCCCAACACUACCUGAUUUGUGAUUUGAUUCUUCUAUGUAAUCAUCAUCUCCAGCAACAAUACCAUCUUCAAAGAUAUCCACAUCAUCUUCUCCAUCCCAAUCCUCCUCCUCAAGCUCUUCAUCAUCGUCAACUUCAUAUACAUCAUCACCAUCAUCAUAAUCUUCAUCAUC
rnacentral:lncRNA from 1 species